UAAGAAAAGAUCUAGUCCAAACUCCUUUCUAUUUUCUUCGUUAGGUUACUCCCAACAAGUCAAAAGCCAAUUCCAUGGCUAGCUCAUUGGCCAUUUUUGGUGUGGUCAUGGCGUUGGGAAUGUUGAGUUGUGGUGCUGAGGCUCGUGCCUUUUUUGUGUUUGGAGACUCACUGGUCGACAAUGGCAACAAUAACUACUUAGCCACCAGUGCUCGUGCCGACUCUCCUCCUUACGGCAUUGACUAUCCCACCCGUCGACCCACCGGCCGUUUCUCCAAUGGCCUCACCAUUC
rnacentral:lncRNA from 1 species